UCUCCUUUGCCACAGAAGGUGACAGCUUGGGGGAGCAGCAGCGGAGUGGGCCAAGCAGAGCCAAAAGGCGCCAAGGAGAGGCCCUGAGACUGCGGAAGAGGGGCUGGGUUUCCUGGCUCCAUCAGCCCAACCGGUGGCUUAGCUUGAGCAAGAGGCAGAGUCUGGGGGAGCCUGACCAAGGGGGCUGCACAGCCAGGCCCCACCCACUUUGACCCCCAACCCACCUCCAAGUCAAGUCACUUCCACAAAUGCUGCUUCGCUGCUCUGGACUCCACCUGGAGCUGCAUGUGCGGUCAGGGUCCAAAGCCCUGGUCCUCUGCAGCCAGCUCUCUGAGGGCAGGAACCUGUGUCUGCUGUGCUGGACCUGUAUCCUGAGUGCCUAGCACAGGACUUGUCACAUAGCA